rnacentral:lncRNA from 1 species
AUGCUGUGGAGCCCGGCUGGAAGCCCGGGGGUUGUUGGGUCUUCACCCGGGAAAUGGGGAGAGAGACUGCGGGGCAGCUGGCACCACAUACGUGCCUUACAGGUGGGGUGUGGGGACUUAGGAGGGCUUAGCACCCAGAGCAUUAGCCCAGGGCCUGGCCCCUGGUGGCUUCUCCCGGCCGCUGGCUGCUUGGCAGGGCUGGAGGGGAGGAGACCCACAGUUUCGGGCUUGAGUCACCUCCCUCCUGGCCAGGCUUCGGCGGCACUGACUCAGCGCCUGCGUGAGCUGGAUGCUGCCUGGAAAGCUAAUCAGCCUCUGAGGCGAGUCAUGCCUCCUGUGACGUGGGCUUGUGCUGUGAGUGGGCGGGAAUGAAUGAAGAAGCGUGGGCUCACCAUGGUUCCUAGAGUGUUGAUGAAGUGACGGGAGAGGGAGGCGGAAGUCAAGAGCAGCCCUUGGAAAAGGCUGCCAGCCCAGGCUGUGAUGCUGUCUGCGGGCCCGUGCAGCCUGGUCCCGGGGUGGGCUCUCUGCACGCGGGCCCGUGCAGCCUGUUCCCGGGAUGGGGCACACAGCUGCCACCUCCCCACACCCCAGCACCGGGGAGCGCCCCAGGGCUCCGCUGUGGCCUGCCCUGCGGCUGGCAGGCCAUCCUCCGGUUCGUCCCUGUGUUUCAAACCUAAGUUCCAUGAGGCAGGACGGGGUUGGUGGGGUCGGGCAGGAGGGCCGGGGAUUGGAAGGUUGGCCAGCUCUACCUCCUGCCCUUCCCACCGCACCCCAAACUUAGCCUUGACAAACGGAUCUCUGCCCUUCUAGGGGAGAGGAGAGGAGAAGAAAUGGUGGUAGAGAAAGAAAGGCAAGGGGAGCUGUGCAGAACCACCCGGAAGCUUGAGAGUUCAACGCGGAGAACCUGCUCUGUGCCAGGCCCCCACCUGGGAGUUGUGCGUGAAAUCAGGACCCAGAUGCUGCAGAACUGAAGUGGGAAGGGACUGACCACCACUGGGCAAAAGGCCGAAGAGGAUAAGAGUUAUAUAGUAACUCAGAGCUCAGUAACAUCAGCAUUUUGGAAGUAGGAUAGGAAGAAAGUCUCAUCACAAGGGAGCCCUGUGGAGAGGAAUGAGCACAGAAUUUGGAGUCAGAAGAGUGGAAGGCCUGGGCUUGGGGCCUGGCUGCACCGUGCCGGCUGGAUUGUUCUGGGAAAGCUGCCCAACUCUCUGCUCCGCAGUCCCCACAUCUGUCACUAGGGAUCAUAUCUGCCUCACAGGAUCAGCUGAGAUAAGGCACGUGUGUAAAAGGCUGUACAAAUGUUAGUUACUAUAAGGUUGUCUCAAAAAAAUAAAACCCACGGCAAAGAGUAUCCCAAGGCAGGCUCAUUUUACUCCAAUUACCAUUUGGCACCGAGCAGAUCAGGGGACUUACUGCAUGACACAGCAAGUCAGUGGAAGAGCCAAGGAGUGCACUCAUCCAAGUUACUGAUUCCGAUGUCAGCAAAACCUGCUGAAACCCAUCUUCACACUGCAGUUCAGAGGGUGUCCCCAGGAAGCACCUCUCUGCAAAGCAUGUUCAACGUAGUUCCCAGUGGCCUGCCAAAUGGUCAGCAGCAAGGUGUAACUGGAUGUCGCUUCCAGGAAGCAGAGUGAAAAGAGACAAGGAGUAGGAAACUAAUGUCCAGAGUCGGCCAUUUGCCCCAGGGACCGGAGUGGAGACUGCAUUUCUAAGUGCUUCCUCUGUCCACAGCCCUCCUCCCCCAUACCUUUUAAAAACAGAUUUGCUGGCUGGGUACGGUGGCUCAUGCCUGUAAUCCCAGCACUUUGGGAGGCUGA